rnacentral:tRNA from 1 species
GGGCCCGUAGUGUUUAACGGUUAGCACGCCUUCCUUCUAAGAUCGAAGUGCCAGUUCAACUCUGGUCGGGUCCA